rnacentral:rRNA from 1 species
GACGAACGCUGGCGGCGUGCUUAACACAUGCAAGUCGAGCGGAAAGGCCCUUCGUGUUACUCGAGCGGCGAACGGGUGCGUAACACGUGAGUAAUCUGCCCUUGGCUUUGGGAUAGCUACCGGAAACGGUGGCUAAUACCGGAUACGGCAACCGUCUGCAUGUGCUUGUUGUGGAAAGGUUUUUCGGCCAGGGAUGUGCUCGCGGCCUAUCAGCUUGUUGGUGGGGUAAUGGGCUACCAAGGCCUCGACGGGUAGCCGGGCUGCGAGGGUGAACGGCCCCACUGGGACUGAGACACGGCAGAGACUGCUCAGGGAGGCAGCGGUGGGGAAUAUUGGACAAUGGGCGGAAGCCUGAUACAGCAACGCCGCGUGAGGGAUGACGGCCUUCGGGUUGUAAACCUCUUUCAGUACCGACGAAGCGCCGAUGAUGGUGGUGACGGUAGGUACAGAAGAAGCACCGGCCAACUACGUG